CCUACGGGGGGCUGCAGUGGGGGAUAUUGCACAAUGGGGGAAACCCUGAUGCAGCGACGCCGCGUGGGUGAAGAAGUAUUUCGGUAUGUAAAGCCCUAUCAGCAGGGAAGAAAGAAGACGGUACCUGACUAAGAAGCCCCGGCUAACUACGUGCCAGCAGCCGCGGUAAUACGUAGGGGGCGAGCGUUAUCCGGAUUCACUGGGUGUAAAGGGAGCGUAGACGGCCGUGCAAGCCAGGAGUGAAAGCCCGGGGCCCAACCCCGGGACUGCCCUUGGAACUGUGCGGCUGGAGUGCGGGAGGGGCAGGCGGAAUGCCUGGUGUAGCGGGGAAAUGCGUAGAUAUCAGGAGGAACACCGGCGGCGAAGGCGGCCUGCUGGACCGCGACUGACGUUGAGGCUCGAAAGCGUGGGGAGCGAACAGGAUUAGAUACCCUGGUAGUC
rnacentral:rRNA from 1 species